AGCAGCAGAUACAGAGGAAGGGAAGGUAGAGAGGAGGGAGUGAAAAGAUGGUAGGUCCUCCAGAAGUGUAGUUUUCCUACAUUUUCGCUCAGUUGCCUGCAGCCCUGUUUUGUAAGCUCGCAAUGAGUGACUCAGAUACAGAGCAGGAGGGGAGGACUGAGCCAGGCCGGAAGGAAAGGGGACAGUGUGAGUCACAGGAAUGCGGAAAGGGAGGAGAGUAAGGUCAAAGAGGCAGAAUCAGGAGACAGAAGGGAGAAUAAUUUUGCAGAAAGAAGAGAUGAUAAGAUAGAAGAGGAGAGAGAGAGAAGAUUGUGACGGUGCAUGUGGAAUAAGUCAAUCAAGGGCUUGCUCAAAUGUUUGGAAAUGGCUCCCACUCUUGACAACGGAGAUUCAUAUUUGGAUAAAUAAUAUACAGAGCCACGUAUGGCCCACAGCAUGAGAAGGAAACAACAGGAAAAGGUGAAGAGGUGAUGCAGGCUAUGUACAGUAUAUUCUGAUAAUACACUUUAGAUACCAAACCUGGUUCAUACUGUAUUCCUUAAUACUGGAUCAUCAUCGUUUAUUUCUUCUGCAGUUAUAAAUGAGCAAGACUGUCACUUAUUGGCCAAAGUCCUGUCAGUUGGAUUGGUAGAGGCAGACCCAAACUAUCUUCAACACCAAGGACUACAGGGACCUGCGUGGCGGCACUUCCUGAAGGAUCAGCACACUUAAGGAGUACCAGGAAAUGUACAAAUCAGUUACAAAGACAUUUACAUUUGGUACCCUGGAAAAUAUUGAUUUCUAUGCAAGAUCAAGCUAUCCACCAAAAUCAAAGAACAUUAAACGGACAACGUGAGAAUGAAGGAGGACGCACUCAUUGGCCCACAUUUGUCAUUGCAGUGAUUUGCUGCCCUUUUAUUUUAUUUGUUAAUGAUUGAAUAAUGAAAUUAUACCUCCAAAAGGAA